GACGAACGCUGGCGGCGUGCCUAAUACAUGCAAGUCGAACGCAGAGGGGACGGGUGAGUAACACGUGGGUAACCUCAAAUCAGAGGGGAUAACACUGGGGAACAGGUGCUAAACCGAUACUGAUUGAUGGACCCGCGGUGCAUUAGCUAGUUGGUGAGGUAACGGCUCCCCAAGGCCACGAUGCAUCGCCGCCCUGAGAGGGUGAUCGGCCAGACUGGGACUGGGACACGGCCCAGACUCCUACGGGAGGCAGCAGUAGGGAAUCUUCGGCAAUGGACGAAAGUCUGACCGAGAAACGCCGCGUGAGUGAAGAAGGUUUUCGGAGCGUAAAACUCUGUUGUUAGAGAAGCGGUAUCUAACCAGAAAGCCACGGCUAACUACGUGCCAGCAGCCGCGGUAAUAC
rnacentral:rRNA from 1 species